CUCCCUGUGGCUCACUUGGUAGAGCAUGGUGUUUGCAACGCCAGGGUUGUGGGUUCGAUUCCCACGGGGGGC
rnacentral:tRNA from 1 species